GCUGGGAUGGUCUAGGUGGUUAUGACGACUGCCUAACACGCAGUAGGUCGGGAGUUCGACCCUCCCUUCCAGUA